ACUUCUUACCCUCAGGUCCUGUUCAGGUUUCCUCCACCAGGGACUCAGGGAAAGGCUAAAUUCAGUUCCCAAAGUGUAAAACACUGCAGGCUUGUAGUAUCAUCUCUGCAUCAUAUUCUUUAAUAAAAUAAAGCUAGAGGAUUGCAAUAAAGGUAACCUCCGAUAAUGAAAAAUAUUUUUAUUAAAGAAAAGUACCACAUGUAAAUAACCCAAUUGUAUACUGUAUUAUUUAGAUUCAAGGAUUACUGCACAAUUACAAAAUAGGAAUGCCAUCUUUGUUCCCUAUUAGUAUGUAAAGAGAAAAAUAUUAGUAGUUUUUAUAAAAACAUUUGAAGAAGUUGAUCAUUUUUACCUUUAAUAGUUAUCUCCUUUAGUUGCUAACAUUUGUCUUUGUCUUUUACACAGGGGUAAAAUAAAAUAUCUAGGACUUAUGGUAAAGUGGUGUCCCCACCAGAAGAAUUGAUGCCAUAUUUCGUACAUAUGCCAUCACUUUCUAAUUAGUGGGGACUAAACUGCCAGUAAUGCCCACCGAGACUAACAUCUGGGACUCUUAUCAAUUCAAUGAGUCUCUUCACAGCUUUAACCUGCAGAGCUCCACACUUAUCCUUCUAUUGUGCAAUGAAGUGCAACACAGCCAUAUUGAUUUGAAGUGAAUUCUACAGCAGGGUCCUUACUAUUAACCAUAGGAGCAUUGACAGCUGCAGGAGUUUUAGUUUCACCGCAGGCCACUGCCUCAUUGAUGGUCAUAGUAGAACCCUAUGUACUGUUAUUAUACGUUCCUACUUGAUUCAUUCUAAAGUGCUAAAACUGUGUCCGGAAGAAACCAACAGUAAUGAGCAUCAUGAAUAGUCAAGAAGAAUAUGUCUGGCUUGAUUUGGUCAUCAAAAAAGAGACACUCUUCAAACUUUUUAUACACAUUAUCUGUUGGUAAGGUCCCACCGUUCCUGGAGGGAGUGGAGAUUUAUAUGAUGCAGCCAAGGAAUAGACCCUUGGUCUUGCCACAAGAGGGCAUAAAAGAGGCUUCUUUCUGGUAGUGUACCUCAAGAGGUGUUGUGAACAAGAAAUCUGGACUGCCACAUACUGGAACCAUAUUCAAGUUCUGUUUAGAAUUUGACAAUGGUCGGGUUCAAGUAUGGAGGCCUUGUGAUUUCUGUUCCAGGGACAUUCCCAAGUGCACCACAUGAGGGGCUAGAACAAAAAAAAAAAAAUAGUAAAAUACUACAACACUUCAUAAAACAUCAUUUGGAUCUCCUCAUUGGGACUAUAUAGAACAUUUAUAAUAUUCAAUAUUAGCAAUUCGCCCAUAUAUUAUACAGUAAUGUAACAAAGUACUUUUUUGGUCAGAAGGAAUCACACAUGCAUGCGACAGGCAGUAGGAACAAGAUGUUGUGGCAAUCGUGAAGUUAUUUGACAUCAGAUGUGGGCAUAGUUUUGUCCGCAUGCAAUGAUCGCAAUAUUAUACCUGCCCUCUCUCGUCUCAUAAGGUUUGAUACAUUUGGUGAUGCUGAAUGCCUUUUAAAUACUUAAUACAUCGCUGUUUUCUUGUGCCAUUAAGCAAUUGGAGAAGUGGUGCUGAGCUGUAGGGGCACGCCUCCUCCCUCCCAAGCCAAUUUAUGCCCUGCAUGACUGACAUACAAGCCUCUGCUGGAAGCAUGGAGCCCUAUACGUUAAUUCGUGAAAGCAGGGAGGAAGAAGGCAUCCUGCCUCUCCAACUGUUUUGGAGAGAAAGCAGCAAUUUUGUAAGUGUAUACAAUUCAGAAGACCUAAAGAUAUAGUUUAUUUAAUCCCCUUGUGACUUCUCUGUCAGUAUCUGCAGCUCCGUACCGGAUAUGGAGCUGACAGAUUCCCUUUAAGUGAAUGUAGACAAUCUGUUUUUGCUGAACACAUGUGACCUGUCUAGCAUGCUGAUAUAAUAUAUUAUUUCUAAUAAUAAAAAAAAG